rnacentral:lncRNA from 1 species
UUCAGAGCUGAAGGUGCCUCACUGCCCUGUGGAACAGGUGAAUAAAGCCUUCCCAGCAUCUCUCUCUAGCCUAUUAUCUCCUGUUAGACACAGCCCAGAAAAUGAAUAGAGACAAGUCCUGGCUGGGUCUGGGUUCAGAAACAUAAUAGAAGGAUUCAUCUAAUCUGUCGGCCACUGUGGAGGAAGUGAACCUUCUAGAUCCUGCUGACUCAUACAAUGAGUUUUGUGUGGACCAUCAGACAAAAGGGCUGGCUGGUGAAGGUGGCUGUUGUCUGGAAAUUCCUCCCAGCUCUCCUCUAAUUAUGUCAUAAGGACUGGAGGCCCCUUAGCCUGCUUGUG